UACGUAGGUGACAAGCGUUGUCCGGAUUUACUGGGCGUAAAGAGCGCGCAGGCGGUCGUUCAAGUCGAGUGUGAAAGCCCCCGGCUCAACUGGGGAGGGUCAUUCGAUACUGAUCGACUCGAAGGCAGGAGAGGGUAGUGGAAUUCCCGGUGUAGUGGUGAAAUGCGUAGAUAUCGGGAGGAACACCAGUGGCGAAGGCGGCGAUCUGGGAAGAUACUGACGCUGAGGUGCGAAAGCGUGGGGAGCAAACAGG
rnacentral:rRNA from 1 species